rnacentral:rRNA from 1 species
CCUACGGGUGGCAGCAGUGAGGAAUAUUGGUCAAUGGACGAGAGUCUGAACCAGCCAAGCAGCGUGAAGGAUGACUGCCCUAUGGGUUGUAAACUUCUUUUAUAUGGGAAUAAAAUGUUCCACGUGUGGGAUUUUGUAUGUACCAUAUGAAUAAGGAUCGGCUAACUCCGUGCCAGCAGCCGCGGUAAUACGGAGGAUCCGGGCGUUAUCCGGAUUUAUUGGGGUGAAAGGGUGCGUAGGUGGAUUGUUAAGUCAGUUGUGAAAGUUUGCGGCUCAACCGUAAAAGUGCAGUUGAAACUGGCAGGCUUGAGUACAGUAGAGGUAGGCGGAAUGCGUGGUGUAGCGGUGAAAUGCUUAGAUAUCACGAAGAACUCCGAUUGCGAAGGCAGUCCACUGGACUGCAACUGACACUGAGGCUCGAAAGUGUGGGUAUCAAACAGGAUUAGAUACCCCUGUAGUC